UCCUCUUCUCGUUGUUUCAUUUGAGGUCGAGAUUCACCGAAAGUUCCUCUGGUUUGUGAUCAGGGAGAGGUGGUGUCGCGCGAAAGCUGAUCGCCGGUUCGGGAGGACGGAUAUGGUUUUCAAGCAAUGCUGAGUAUAGAUGGCUCAUUAGUCGCUUCAUAGUGAUUGGUCUUCCAUGAUCGUUACAAUGCAACAUCAGUAUUCACUAAUAAGAUCGUUGCAAUGCAAUUCAUUAGUCGCUGAGUGCCGCUGAACUCUUGAAGCCUGAUAGACGUGGUUGUUGUAGUUGCUGUGCGAAGGAUUGAAGAAGCCGAAGAGAUGAUUUCAGUUCUAUAUUUGGUGUUAGUUGGAACAGUAUAGUAAAGUGGUAAAUUAAUAUUAAAUUUGCGCCUGUGUUUUGUAUAUUGUAGACUCAGACUUUCUUGGACUCAUUAGAGAGGACGGUUUAAAUUUUAGCCAUGUAUGGAACAAAACUAUGAUAUAUUGGCUUAUUUUGAGCUAUGGACAGGGGAACUAGUUAUUUAUAUGACAAUGCAUGAUGGAAAACGAUAAAUCAGUAAGUUCUCAAUAUUGAUUAGAAGUUUGAACUUUAAGCAUUAGAAGGACUGGGUAAGAUGCUUUGUUGUGGCAUCAAAUUUUAAAUAAUGAGUUCAAUUUAUGUUCCAGAAGUUGGGUUUUCAG